rnacentral:rRNA from 1 species
UACGUAGGUGGCAAGCGUUGUCCGGAUUUAUUGGGUUUAAAGGGUGCGUAGGCGGUCUAUUAAGUCAGUGCUGAAAUAUCCCGGCUUAACCGGGAGGGUGGCAUUGAUACUGAUGGACUUGAGUGCAGUCGAGGUAGGCGGAAUUGACGGUGUAGCGGUGAAAUGCUUAGAUAUCGUCAAGAACACCGAUAGUGUAGACAGCUUACUAGGCUGUAACUGACGCUGAGGCACGAAAGCGUGGGGAGCGAACAGG